UUUUCUUUCUUACAUGGAAAAAGCUAAAAACCCUCCAAUGUCCAAAAUGAUUCCAUAGAUGUCUUUAUCCUAAUGCUCUCUUGAUCAAGUAUUCAAUUUUUUCUAAACACAUUUAAUAAGUGCAAAUAAAGAAACUUUAGAUGUGAAAAGUACUUGCAAAACUGGGAAAGUAAAACUUACUAUGUAUGACUAUGCAAUAGAAAUAUCAUUACUCCUACUAAGGUUCUUCCAAAACACUAUAGCCUAGAAUUAUGUUACUUUUAUGUAUUUCUAUGUAUGUAGUAGUAAGGAUUUCCUGAUCCGUCGAUCGUGAAUGAACUGAGAUUCUUGAAGAGGCUCUGGCUUCUCUGAAACAAGUAUCAUAUUGUGGUCUCAGCUAGCCUCAAAGUUUUGUUAAGACUUUGCUAGUUGCAGUCGUGCAAUGAACUCCCACAAUAAUUGUCAGAUAUAAACAUUUUGAUGUAUGAUACUAGCAAAAACAUUGAUCCCUGAGAUUAUAAAGUAGUUGUGAUGAUUUUGCUAUUUCAUUCUAUCUUUCUAUUUUUGAGUUGCAUUUAUACUUUCCUUAGCAGUAGAUAUUAUUUUUAAUGUAUGAGCAUUGCUAACUCUAUUAGGAGUUCUUUCAUCUGCAUAUAAUGAUUGAAUAUUAAUGAUUUUGUUGAAUAUGUGUUUCUUUGAAUGUGGUAUUUUAUUACUUGUGAUUUAUUUGUGAGAGUGGAAGUGUUUACUUGUGGUAUUUUUGAGAGUUUCAAGAUUUUAGAAAAUUACAAUAUGAAAGGCGUAAUCAUUUACAAUACCCUCAUAGGACUUCACGCCAUAGCUAUACUGAAUUGGAAGCUGAUUUAGUAAGUACAUAUAUAGAACGAAUUAUGCCUGGUUUUAUGUUUUCUUCAAUUGAUGUUAAAAUUGACCUAAUUCUAUUAUAUGCAGCAAGCUAAGUGGGGCACAACAGAGUAGAUAGAUCGAUCUAUACUCUGGAAGGUGGCCAGAAAAGAUUCUUCUGGCAACUAUGUCACUGAGUGUGACAAGGUCAUGGGAGAGGCCAUCGAAGAAAUGCUUGAGCAAAGAAAAGAAGGCAAACUGAUUGAGAUCAGAACAAAUGACAUCCUAACACAAGUGUUAGGUACUGCUGAGCACCUCGGUCAAGUUCGAGGCCAGAGUCAAGGUGUCACACAAAGAGACUAAUUUCAUAAGCCUAUUGGGGGGGGGGGGGUCUAAGAGGCUUGCUAGUACUAAUUGUAGUUUUUAGUUAGCACUUACAUAGUUAUUCCAAGUGAGUUCUAUAGUCCAUGUGAGUUAGCACUUACAUAUUUUGAUCUUGUAAUUUUUAGAGUUGGAACAUACUGAGUUCUAUUGAUUUUGUUUGCCUGUUCAUUCU